rnacentral:lncRNA from 1 species
AAAAAACAACAACCAUAGCUCAUUCUUCUGAGAAUGUAAUUGUCAAAAUUAAGAAACCCAUUUCUUAUUGACUGAAACCUAGAAACUAUCUAUUAUCAUAAAACAUUAACAAGAAGAAAAAUCCCACUUAAACUAUCCUAUUCUUUAAAAAGACCCCGCAAUUCAAAUUUUCUGGCAUCCUACCCUUUAAUUCUACAAGCCAUCGUUCUAUCUUCAGUUGUUCUGUAUCAUUAUUGCCCUCAAUGGAGAUUUCAUAGAAAUAGAAACCGUCAGAGUCCCUUUGUACUUAUUUCCUCCAACUCAUUUCAAACGUCGUUUAGAGAUCUUCUAUCCUCUUCGGUCAUUGAUUCCAUUUUUUUAAGGAGCAUCCUCGAUCCAAACCCUCGAUUGUGUCUAUUGUUUUCUUUCCUCAGUCAUCGCAUGCAUCGUAUGAUUUACCUUUCGUCUCACAAAAUAGCAGGUAAAGCUUUUGAAUUUUUGUGCUUUUUUCUUUUAUUUCUUGUACAAUCAUUGUGAUACUCGAUCUGUCCUCAUCUCCUGUUUGGAUUUUUUUUAUGACUAUCAAGGAGUCACCUUCUAUUUUCAGUUUAUGAAACCCUCUUUUCUCAGCCACCGUCACUGCUUGUAGACAUGCUUUCGCCUCUGUAAUGGUUGCAUCGGCUAUAAAAUUGUUCUGGUAAGUGCAUGCUGCUAAUAUAUAUCCCUCGACAUCUUUGAAUAUGAUUCUCGUAACCGAACUUAGCAUGUUUUUAUUAUAUGCCUUAUCGAAAUCACAAUUAACUUUAUUUUCUCUCAGUGGUUUCCAAAUACAAUCGUUUUGUUAUAUAUUUGUUGUUGUUUUUUGAACUAUGUGGUUACUUUCUACCUAGAAUGCUUUGAUAAAUGCAAUUAACCCAAUUGUACUUUGUUUUUCACCUUGAUGGUAAACUUUAUUUCUUUGGUGCCAUACUGCCCAUAGAGAUAUUUGUAGGCAUUUGCAUUGUUCUUCUUCCAUACUAACAAAUAGAUUUGCUAACAAUAACUUCCAGUUUUGGCCUUGGGACUAGGAGAGGCAUCAAUCCCUAUCCCUUGCAGGAUAUUUUUGACAAACAUACAGUCCCAGAAUAUACGGUUCACCGAUUCUUCCAUUGAGUGACAUAGUGGGUAAUCGUUCAUCACCCUCAACUUCUUAGAUUGAAGGUUAUUAAGAGUAGGAAUAUAGUUAUUUAUUACUUUCCAUAUUGUAAAUUUGAUCUUGCUCGCAAUUUGUAAGUUCCAUAGUCUGGUGUAGAAGUUCUAUAAAAUCAUCGGUUGUAGCGUUACUUCCUUUUGCAUUUGUGUUGUACCUUCUUUAAACAAUCACUUGUAUCAUCUUUUUGCUGAGUACACUCCUGUAUUAUCACCCUUCCAAACCCCGAUGUCCUUGAUAUCGACUCCAGCAAUUGGAAUGGUAUGAAUUAUGUUUGCUUGCUCCUCGUCAAAAAGCUUUCUUAGGACUUCUAACCUCCAGGUGAUUUGUUCAUAAUUAAUUAAGUUUGCUACUAUUGUGAAGUUGAUAUUAAUAUUCUGUCAUGUUAUUUUUACAUGUCUAGGCCCUGGAGGCCAAUCUUUAUUCCAUAUAUUGAUUGAUUUGCCAUUUCUUACCCUUCAUCCUAUGCUUGCCUCAAAAAGUCCUCUCAAGCACCAUAUGCUUCUCCAGGUAAAUGGCAGGUGAGAUCCUAAACUUGCAUUAAAAAAAUUCACUAUUUGGGUAAUAUUUUGCUUUCAUAACAUGAGCAAAUAAGCAUUCUAGAUUCAUUAUUAAUUUCCACCCCUGUUAUGCGAGCAAAGCAAUAUUAAAUUUAGCAAAAUCUCUAAAACCUAAUCCUUAUUGCACUUUCGGUUUGCACACCUCCCUCUACUUACACCAAUGGAUCCCCUUCCUUGUUUUGGAAUUUCUCCACUAGAAUUUACUAAUAAUGUUUUCUAACUCACGACAAAGGGUAAUAGGCAAUAAGAAACAUUGCAUCGUAUAAACUGGUAUGGCUUGUAAAACUGACUUAAGAAAGACUUAUUUACCUCCAAGCAAUUAUUGCUGAAUACUCCAGUUUUCAAUGUGUCUAGAGAAUUAGUCUUUAAAAUUUGCAAACUCUGAUUUUUUCUGUCUUCCUAUCAUGGUUGGAAGACCUAAAUAUUUUUUCGAAUUACUUGAAAUUCUUACUCCAAGAGAGUUCCAAUCUAUUCCUUAUAAUCUCUCUGCACAUUACUACUAAAGUAAAUCAGUGACUUUUCAUAAUUGAUUAACUAGCCCAAAACCUCUUCGUACUUGUUUAAUAUUGAUUUAAUAGCCUUUGCCCCCUCCAUACUUGCUUCCCCGAAUAGAAUGCUAUCAUCCAAGAAAACUAGAUGAGUUAACAAUAGUCCAUGAUAAACAUGUUAAUUUGCAAAUUUUUUAUGAUUAAUUUGGUUUAUUUUUGAACUAAACCCUGCUAAUUAAGUGAUUUUAUGAUUUAAACUUGUCAGGGAUGCAAUUGGACAAAAACAAGCUAAAAGGGGCCAAAUUGAAACACAAUCGAAAUAGGGCCAAAUCAAAAAGGGUGGAGGAAGCCAAGGACACAUCAAAUAUUUUGACUUUAUAAAAGCCAAAAAUAGGAAAAUCUUAUUUUAUUUUAUUUAUUUUUAUUUUAUUUUUGAUUUUACAAUAAAUUAGUUUAGGCUAAAUCUAGUAAACCCUAUGUAUAUAAAUAGGGACUUUAUGUUCUUAGGAAAUCAUCCAUUAAUUUUUGUAUUCCUACUUUCAUUUGGAAUUGAACUAUUUUCUUUUCUCUUUCAAUUUGAUGUGGGAAUUUCGUUCAUUUUAUUUCAAUUUCUUUGUUCUUUCUAAAUUCCUCCAAUUGCUUUCUAACCCCUUUUAUUCCCCAAUUUCUUCUAUUAUCAUACAGAUUCAAUCACCUUCCACAACCUACAAGCAUGAAUAAAUUCAUGCUUCACUAAAAUUUUAACUUAGCCUUGGGUCGGUGUUCUUUCCAGUCGGGAAUCGUGAGAUACGAAUUCCUGCUAAAAAUUCGUCCAAUCGAUAUUCAUUUUUUUCCUAAGUGUCAGAAUUGACAACUCAUCUCUUAAAGUUAACUCGAUUACAAGUCAAAAAGUGCAUGUUGGUUUGGAGUCGUGUUAGUUGACAAUUGGAGAAACGAGUCGGUCGUGCUGUAUUCGAAUAUCUGAGAACAAAUUGAGAAAGAAGUGAUCAGGUUUAAACGACCCAUGCAGUUGAGGCCGUUAAGUCAAGUUGGGUUCUUCAAAAUGAAAUGCUGCCAGAAUCUUGAAUCGGGAACACGUGUGUCUCAGUUAGAUAAUUGGUAAGGGUUGGUUUGCAGGUCGUACCGGAACCAGCUACUAGAGGAGGAAUUGGUGGUUAGGACGUUCGUAACUGCUGUAACUAGCUUAUCGGUUGGAGGAGAAGAUUAAUUUUUGAAGAUCGAUUCUUGAUACGAAAUUUACCGAGUCUAAGGCUAAGACUUAUUUUAUCUGUCUACAUAAGUCUUAAUUUAUUUCCAGUUUACAUUUAUUUUCAAUUGUAGUCAACCGUUUAUUUAAGCUGAUUAGAUUAUUUACUUUCUUAAAUAUUCUCAAAUUCCCUCGAUUUAAUUGUUUAUUUUUAGCAGGUAUGUUUGGAGUUGUGGGCACGACUCUUAACACAAUGCUUGACGAGACGAAUAUUCUGCUCAUAAGUGGACACAGAAGUUGAUUGCGAUAUCCAAUCCCUAUGGACUCGACCCUACUACCACUCUUUAUUACAAUUUAGAGUUGUUUCUGGAGGAAUUAUUUUUGGUGGUUUCGACGCCCAUCAAAUUUUGGCGCCAUUACCGAGGAUUGGAGAUAUUAUUCUAAUUUUUGUUUGUUUACCUUAUGACCAGAUCAGAAUUGGGAACUCUAGAAUUUGAACUAGAAAUUGAGAAAUUCGCCCGAGAAAUGUGGAAAGAACCCAUUCGAUGCGGUAAAUGGCCAAAUCCUAGGUUCGAAACUAUAUCGUAUACUGAAGAAAUUUUCUCGUUUGACGAACCAAACGAGAUGGCUGAACAGACAAUACGCCAACUCGUUGCGGCACCCGAUGAACAACAACGUUUAUGUAUAACCUAUCCGAUAGGAGAAAUGCCGUUCGAGUUAAAAUCUAGUUUGAUUCACUUAUUACCCACCUUUCGUAGAUUAUAGAAUGAAAACCCGUACACCCACCUUAAGGGAUUCCAUAUGGUGUGCACAAGCAUAAAGCCUUAGGGAGUAACCGAAGACCAAAUCAAACUUUGCGCUUUUCCUUUUCACUAGCCUACUUUGCUAGAAGGUGGCUAUUUUAUUUGCCUCCGGGAUUUGUCAAUACAUGGUCUGACAUGUCUCGUUUGUUUCUUGACAGGUUUUUCCCUGUAGUUCGAGCGGCCGAACUAAGGAGAGAUAUUGUGGGAAUCCGUCAGAUAGAGACUGAAUUGCUCUACGAUUACUAGGAGAGAUACAAAAAGUUGUGUGCAAGUUACCCACAACAUGGACUAUUGAGCAGUCACUCUUGUAGUAUUUCUAUGAGAGAUUACUCUCGAUGGAAAUGAAGAUGAUUGAUGCUGCAAGUGGGGGGCACUCGUUAAUAUGAUGCCUCAAAGAGCGAGAGAGUUGAUUUCAACCAUGGCUGCUAACUUUCAACAAUUCUAACCAGCCAUAGAACUUACGAGACAGGUUCAUAGGUUAAGUUCUUUAUCUCUAGAAGAUAAAAUUGAUAAGCUGACUAAUGUUGUUCAAACUUUGCUUACAGAUAAAAUGAGCCCAGCACGGUUGUACGAAAUUUGAGCUAAGCCAGACCACCUGACGGACUCCCAUCCGAUUUUAUAUGAGGAAUUUGACAAAACAAGCGAAUGCUAUUGAGAACUUUCCAAGACCGCCCUAUAGGCGCUAUGACCACUACUCAAACUCAUAUAAUAUGGGGUGGAAAGUCACCCAACUCUCAGUAAUGGGACGAAUCUGCAGUUCAAUCAACCAUACCAACAAAGGCCGCCUAAGAAUCAACAGAUACUACCCGCAAAGUCAUCUUUGGAAGCCAUUGUAGAAAGUCUAGCCAACAGUACUAAGAAAUUCCAACAAAAAAAUAACAUGCAUUUGUAGGAGUUGGACAAGCAAGUGAGUAAACUCGUGCUUACGGUUAGCCAUUUGGAGUCCCAAGGUAAGCUGCUAUCCCAAACUGAGCCAAACCCUCGACACAAUGCAAGUGCUAUGACACUGAGCAGUAGGAAGGUUUUGGAGCCCAUACCUGACACAAGUCACGGCCACGACACUAGUCGCGCCCACGACUCUAGUCAAGAUAGAGAGAAACUUGACAUGGAGGGUUCAGUAGAGUCAGCACCUCAAAAAUCAUUUGUAGUACCACAUCCGUUUCUUAGAAGACUUGUCCAGUGCAAGAAGGAGCGAGAUGAGGAGAUCCUAGACAUCUUUCGAAAGGUGGAAAUCAACAUACCUCUUCUUGAUGCGAUUAAGCAGAUCCUACGAUAUGCAAAAUUCAUAAAAGAGUUAUGCAAGAGUAAAAGGAAGCUUUUGGGCAAUGAAAGGGCAAGUGUCAGAGACAAUGUCUUCGCCGUUCUGCAACGAAAAAUAUCGCCCAAAUGUAAUGACCAAGUUUUGUUUUUCAUAUAUUGUAAAAUAGGUAGUGUCGGUAUUAAAAAAGUAAUGUGUGACUUAGGUGCAUCAAUUAAUGUUAUGUCUUUGUUAAUUUAUAAACUACUUCACGUGGGUUCUUUAAAGGAAACAGGUGUGAUUAUCCAGCUUGUAGAUAGAUCUGUAGUGCAACUAGAAGGAGUAUUGGAGGACAUUCUUGUAAAGGUAAACGAGCUAAUAUUUCCUGCAAAUUUCUACAUUAUCAAUAUGCAAGAGAUAAUUCGGUCAAUUCAUCUAACAUACUUCUCGGAAGGCCAUUUUUGAGUACCGCACAAACAAAGAUUGAUGUACAAAGUGGGAUACUAACUAUGGAGUUCGAUGGGGAAGUGGUGAAAUUCAAUGUCUAUGAGGCCAUGAACCGCCCUAGCAUGAUUUCUAAUAUUUCUAAUAUUGAUGUAAUCGAUCCUUUAACUAAAUUUACAUUUAUAAUAUCAUGACGAAGAUAAAUUACGAAUUUUUCUUUUCAAAAGUUUAGACUUUGAUUCCAUGAAGAAACUAGAGUGGAUAACCUUUGAAGAAACUGUUCAGGAAAUAGUGGCUCAUAUGGAGGUAUCGCAAUUACAGAAAAAUUUAGGUAAAAAUUUUGAAUUAUCUCCUUCACAGACUAAACUUAUACGAUCUCUUUUACAGGCUCCAGAGUUGGAGCUCAAACCCCUUCUAGGCCACUUGAAGUAUACUUUUCUCAGUAAAGGAAAUACCUUACCAGUAAUAAUCUCGAGUAAACUCUCGAUGGUAGAAGAGGAAAACUUGGUACAAGUUCAUAGGGACUAUAAAGAGGUAAUUGGAUGGACGAUAGUCGACAUUAAGGGGUUGAGCCCCUUGACUUGCAUACACAAAAUUCAAGUUGUCGAUAAUGCUAUUCCCAGAAAGGGAAGCUCAAAGGCAUCUCAAUCCGCCUAUGAUGGAAGUGGUGAGAAAAAAGGUCUAAAAGCUACUUGACACCGGGAUGAUCUAUCCCAUCUUUGACAGUAAUUGGGUUAGCCCAGUCCAUGUAGUACUGAAAAAGAUCGGCGUAACCGUAAUUGAGAAUUCAGCAGGUGAAAUGGUUCCCACUCAGGUCCAAAACGGGUGGAGAAUCUGCAUCGAUUAUAGGAAGUUAAAUUCCUUAACUUAGAAAGAUCACUUUCCACUUCCUUUUAUUGACCAGAUGUUAGAACGUUUAGCUAGAAAGUGUCAUUAUUGUUGUCUGGAUGGUUACUCGGGUUUUUUUCCAGAUCUUAGUAGUACUGGAGGAUCAAGAAAAGAUGAUGUUUACGUGUCUAUUUGGCAUAUUCGCUUACAGACGGAUGCUGUUCAAACUUUGUAAUGUACCAGCUACAUUUCAAAGGUGUAUGGUAAGUAUAUUUUCCGACUACAUCGAGAAAAUAAUUAAGAUAUUCAUGGAUAACUUUACUGUAUAUGUUGAGUCCUUCGAGGUAUGUUUGUCAAAUCUUGCAAAAAUUUUGGAAAGAUGCUUAGAAUUUAAUCUUGUUCUAAAUUAUGAGAAAUGCCAUUUCAUGGUAAACAAGGGAUUAGUUCUAGGUCAUACCAUUUCUGCUGAGGGAAUUUUUGUCGAUAAAGCAAAAAUCGACAUCAUUAACUCACUACCAUACCCUACAACUGUGAGGGAGAUUCGUUCUUUCCUUGGUCAUGCAGGUUUCUAAAGGCUGUUCAUUAAGGACUUUUUGAAAAUUGCGCCACCACUUUGCAAUCUCUUACAGAAGGACAAGGAAUUCGAGUUUGACCAAUCAUGCAGAUAUGCGUUUGACAUGCUCAAAAAUAAGCUCAUUUCGGCACUUAUCGUUUAACCACCAAAUUGGAAUUAUCCUUUCAAAAUAAUGUGCGAUGCUAGUGACCAUAGUGUAGGAGCAGUCCUUGGACAAAGAAUCGAGAAAGAACCGCACGUCAUCUCCUAUGCUUCUAAAACUUUGGAUGCUGGCCAAAGUAAUUAUUCAACCACUGAAAAAGAGUUUCUAGCUAUAGUCUUUGCCUUAGAAAAGUUUCGUUCGUAUUUAUUAGGAACUAAGAUUGUGGUUUUUUCUGAUCAUGUAACUCUUAAAUAACUGAUCGGGAAGAAGGAAGUAAAACCAAGACUUAUAAGGUGGAUAAUAAUUUUGCAGGAGUUCAAUCUCGAAAUAAAGGAUAAAAAAGGACGUGAAAAUUUGGUAGCUGACCAUCUAAGCCGAAUACCUCCAUCGAAGGACGUCACACCACUUAAAGAUGAUUUUUUGGACGAAAGUCUGCUUACUACUCAGACAAUUUUUCCUUGUACGUAGACAUGGAGAAUUACCUUGCCACAGGUAUGGUCUCUUCUAACUUAUCGCAUUCUGAAAAAGAUAAUAUCAAAUGCGGAUCGCAAUACUACAUUUGGGACGACCCCUACCUGUGGAAAUACUGUUCCGAUCAGGUAAUUUGACGGUGCGUUCCAGAAACUGAGGUAAAAUCAAUUUUAUCUUUUUGUCAUUCUUAUGCAUGUGGUGGAAAUUUUGGCCCUAAACAAACUGAACAUAAAAUGCUUGAAUAUGGACAAUAUUGGCCACAUAUUUUUUGAUAUGCGUAUUUGUUCUGUAAAACAUGCGAAAAGUGCCAAAAGGUAGGAAACCUAAGUCGAAAAAAUGAAAUGCCUCUAACCUUGGUACAUGUUUGUGAAAUAUUUGAUAUAUGGGGCAUAGAUUUUAUGGGACCUUUUGUCUCGUCUUAUGGUAACAUCUAUACUUUUCUUGUAGUUGAUUAUGUUUCGAAGUGGGUGGAAGCAAAAGCCACUCAUCCUGCUGAUGUAAAAAUGGUAGUUGAUUUUCUAAAGAGUUAUAUUUUUUCCAGGUUUGGCACACCAUGAGCAUUGAUUAGCGAUCGUGGAUGCAUUACUGCAAUAAGAUAAUCGACACGCUCUUGAAGAAAUAUGGGGUAGUGCAACGAGUCACUAUGGCUUAUCACCCUCAAUCAAACAGACAAGUGAAAGUGUCGAACCGAGAAAUCAAGUUGAUUUUAGAGAAGACCGUCAAGCCAAGUAGAAAAGAUUGGAGUUUGCGACUAAACGAUGCACUAUGGGUGUACUGAACAACUUAUAAAUGACCCAUAGGUAUGUCUCCUUAUCGACUAAUUUUUGAUAAGCUGUGCCAUCUCCCUAUUGAACUAGAACAUAAGGUGUUUUGGGCAGUCAAGCAAUGCAACAUGGAGUUGGAAGCUGUAGGAAAGCAUCAUAAGUUACAUAUCCAGAAACUUGAGAAAAUUCGACGAGAAGCGUAUGAGAGUACCCAAAUUUAUAAAGAUAAGAUCAAAGCAUAUCAUGACCAAAAGAUAACCCAUAAACAAUUUAUGGUAGGACAAAAAAUAUUACUUUAAGACCCUACAUUAAGAAUUUUUGCAGGUAAGCUGUAACACCUCAAACCUGGCCAAGACGUUAUGGCCGAAUCUGGCGUGCCAUAUUGAAGUUAAAAGUCCUCGUUUCCGUUUUAGUGUUCUAAUAAACCGUAUUUGUUACAUUUAACCAAGUGAAUGGAAGCUGUGCACCAGGUAGGUAUCCAAAAACAGAGGAGGUGAGCCAUGAAGGUUGCUUAAGUACCAAGCUCUUCGGUUGGAUCCAAUCCUAGACAUGCCCACAACCAUUGCCACACUUGGAUAAAACGAGUUGAAAUUUAUUUAAGGGAUAUCUUUGGUAAACCGAAAAAUCAUGAUGUUGCAUUAUUUUGAAAACGAGUAUCAUUUUGAAAACGCGCCCUAAGUCUAGCCCAUUUGUAUUGUCAUCAGUAAAAUGUAAAGUUAUCGAAAAAUAAAAUAAUCCCAGAAAGAGAAUAAAGUUAAAAUGGCCUUAUUACAACCUAAAAAUAAAUAUUAAAUAAGAUAACUAGAGAAAACCAGAUACUUAUUUCAAAGUCCAAUAGCGAUCACCGUGGCCACUCUGAAUCCCCUCCGGCUCCAAGUCCCCAAAUCAAGGCUCACCUGCAAGGUUAAGGAAGGGGGUAAGUUUGGAAACUCACUGUGCAACAAGCCCCUUUCAGAUCCCAAAACAAUAUCAGCCUGCUGGGCCUAAGCCCAAAUUCAAUCUCAGCAUAUACUAGGCCGAAGCCUUUACAUUAUUCAUACCACUGGGCCGAAGCCUUUACAUUAUUCAUACCACUGGGCCGAAGCCUUUUCAUUAUUCAUAUCACUGGGCCGAAGCCUUUACUGUAAACGGUAUGGCCCAUAGGCCCAAAUCAAUACCACAUGCACUAUUAAUGGAUGUAUGCAAGCCCAUUUGGGGAGACUACUCAACCCACCAAUCGCUACUCUCCACCCGUACCAACCAAGCUCUCCAUGUGGGGAAUAACUCAACCCACCCAACCAAACUCUCCACUGGUAGCAUAGCUACUUUAUCAUAUAACUGGAGGCCUAGCCUCUUGUAAUAACUGGGGCAAACCCUUUUUGAUAAACUGGGGCAAAGCCCUUUUCGGUAAACUGGGGCAUAGCCCUUUUGCACUUCCUCCAUUCAUACAAAACCCAACCCAUGCAUAUAUGUAUAUAUCAUGGCAUAUCAUGUGCAUAUCAUGUGCAUAUCAUGGCAUAUUAAGUACAAAUCAGUAUCACAUGCAUCUCAAUUAUAACAUAACCCUAGGGGUAUAAUAGUCAUUUUCACUUAGGGGCAAAAAGGUCAUUUUCACAUUAUAAGGGUAAUUUCGUAAUUUUACCAAAAUAUUAGGGUUUUCCAUGUUCAUUAACAAUUAUCAAUAACUCCAAGUGUUUAAACAAUGAUUUUAACGCACUUUAUCAAAUUCGGGCUUUUGGGCCCAAAACCCCUAAUGGGCCCUACGAAUGCCGAUCUAGCCCUUUAAGCCCUCAUAAUCCAAAUUUUACAUCAGAUCCACUCCUUUAACAAGCAGUAUAUCCAAGUUCCAUUUUCUAUCAAAUUUACCCCAAAUGGGCUUAGAUGCCCAUUGGGCCCGAUUUUAGCCCCUCGAGGCCCAACUUAUCGUGAUGCUGAAAAUCGUGCUCUUACAUUUUCCAAUGAUCCCGAUCAUCAACUUAGCGAAUCUAACUAACCUAUGAGCGGUCGCAUGCUCACGAGUCCUCAAAAUGCCAGAAUUUUGGCAUUUCGGCUUUUCGGCAUAUAUCGAUUUAAGCUACGAAAGAGGGUUCGUUACACACCUGUUUUGUGACGUUCACCAACGAAGUCUCCCACGGCAACCUAAAAUUAUCCAUCUCCAUUUUUAGUGUACAAAUCAUACUUAUCAAACCCAAAAUCUACCUUACCACAUUCGGCCAAAGAUCCCUAAUGGCCAUAGUUAACUUACCUUCACAGGGUCUGACGAUAUGAUCCAAGCUUAUCCAAAUCGAUACCCCACGCCUUGCUGCUCCUCCAACGUAACUAUUCCACUAUACAAACCAUAAAAAUCAAAUGAAGAAGCCCAAUAAGGCCUAUAUCUCUAAUCGGCCACCUCCCUAAACUAUAGGGGUUUCGGCUUUUGUCAACAGUUACUACUGAAUCGAUUUAGUGUACGAAUACUUACCACAGUCUCCCUUCUUGAACCGUUUAAAGCUUAGAAGAUAAAGGGAUGGGCCACCAAAAAGUGAAAGGAAAAAGAGGGUUGCUGGUCAAUAAAGAAUCGGCACCACCAAGCUUCACAGGUUCGGCUUUUGCGGCUUUUCGGUAGAAGUGGAGGUAAGGAAAGAAGUAGUAGAUGAACGGAAGGGAGUAGUGAACUGGUUUUGGAAAAAGAAAAGGAAGAAAGAUGAUGGAUGGAAGGGUGGUAGGUCAGCUAAAGAAGAAGAAAGAAAAAGAAAAAACUAAUCCUAUGGUUUACAAAGAAGAAAACGACACAACAAGCUCCCAAAUGCCGAAAUACUAACCUAAUACCCCUCUGCUGAAAUCUCUUCUCUAAUCCCCUCUAUUCGGCCAAUUCUAUCUCUCUCUCAAAUCCCUAAAAUCUCUCCCCUUAUCACUCCUUAAUCAAUGCGUUUGACUGAUUCAAACUCUCUCCCAUAGAGUUCCAUUCGGCUACAACUCCUGCAUGCUCAAAGCAUAAAAAUAACAUCACAUUUUCCAUCACAGGGAAUCGAACCCAGGUUUCCCCCAACCACUUACACGCCACCUUUUUAGCACCCUAGUGGCAUCAUUUAGCCACUCUACUAGAGGCUCUUUUGUGAUACAUUCUACCCACAAUUUUUAAUAAGACCACCUAUCCAAAGCCCCUAACUUCUUAAGUCUAAAAUUCAAGAAUUCUACCGGGUUUUGGCCAUCAUAUGGGCCUUCCAUAAGCCCAUUUACACACUCCAAUUAUGAAUUUCACAACCAAAUAUCAAAUUUUAAAAACUUUACCAAAAUCUCGAGAAUCACAAAAAAACCCGAAAAUCAGGAUGUUACAUAAGCUUCGGACUAAGUGGUUAAGGCCUUUUAUUGUUACUCACGUGUUUCCACAUGGUGCAAUUGAGGAUAAAAGCAAAGAAUCCAGAAAAAUUUUCAAGGUCAACGGACAGCGAUUAAAGCCUUUUUACGAAAAUUUUCAAGUCACCUUGGUUGAGGAAGUAGUCCUCGAAGAGCCAGCUGAAUAAAUUUCCAGGUCGUCGAGCUAACGACGUUAAACAAAAAACGCUUUUUAGGAGGCAACCCAAACUUAUUUUCAUUUAUUUAUUUUUUGGUUUAAUAAAAAUUUAGGUUGUAAAUAAAUUCCUAUUUAAUCCAGAUAAUUUGAUGUUUUCAGGAACAUAAUGGAGGUUAUGAAUUUUCAAAAAGACGGAUAACAAUGGUUGUUUGGGCACAACAUGCCAAAUGGUGACAAAUUUGUACUUACAAAUUUAUAAAAAAACCACAAUAUCCCUAAAUAAACUGCAAAAAAAAAAAACCCAAAUCCAAAUACUCACCACCCAAUCCAUUAACCUAACCAAACCCAAUACCCACUUGACCCACUUACCUAAAUACCAAAUUACCCAUCAAAACCCACAUCCAAUACCCAUCCAUCAACCCAAUCCCAAGUUAACUCACCUACCCAAUACCUAAACACCACACAACCCAAUUAACCUACCUACCCAAAUAAACCAAAUUACCCACAAAUAAACCCAUUACCCAAUAAGCCUAACCGAAAAAAAAAACAAAAAUAAAAAAUUAAACACCCCAAUCCCUAAUUCCCUAACUCUUUUUCUCCAUCUUCUCCACCUCUUCCAAUCCAAACGGCCACCCCAAUGAGAACUCGUCGUCGACGAAGUCCAACCCUAGUCAAAAUAGAAUGUCCAGAUAGUAACCUCGUUGCUCCCGAAAGGUCGAUUACUGAUCCUCAACCUACUUUUCCUUUACUGACAUAUUAUGCAGGUAAUUCGGAUGAGGCUCUAACUUCUAACGACCAUGUUGAGGUUCCUUUGACCGCGAGAGAAUGUGUCUCUCUACGCCAAACAUAGUUUACUCGAAGUCGUCAACAAUCGACAUGUGAGCCACUGACACCACCGAACAGCAGUACUGACGCUGCUGAAAACUCAAGUCCAUCUGACUUGCCUAAUGAAUACUUUUGACCAAUAUGAAAUAGUCAAUGUAAUAGAUGAGGUCGUGAAAACACUAUUCCUACAGAAGGACGAUUGCAAGGGUUUUUGAACUUUUCGACCUUGGAGUAUCACGCAAGAUACAAUGAAAUCCAACAAUAUCUGCUCCCGGUUUGUAAGCAAAUUGAUCUCUCUACUCUUGAUAUGUUGAAUAUUCACGAUGCUGUGAUUAGUUAUUUUGAUGCUAUUGGUUGGAAUUCAUUUGCUAAUAUUUCUUGUCCUUCAUAUUAUGAGUUGAUCUAUGAAUUCUACACCACAUUUAGCUUCAAUAUUAGUGCAUUACAGACUAUUGAAACAUAAAGCAUUAUCUGUUUUUGUUUGCUUGGUAAGGACUUUCGAAUGUCUAUUUCCAAAUUUAACAUUACCAUGGGUUUCGUCGACCCUACCAAUAUUCCAUCCGAUUCAUAUCAUACUGCUCUGUUAGAUAUACCAAGUAACUUUGAUGCUAAACAUGUUUUUUGUGUUUUAACUCAUUCUAAUCAGCAUUAUAAUCCAAAAACAACUAAAGACUUAUUGGUGCAUGAACCGACUUUAAGAUAUAUUCACCGAUUUUUAGCCUUUAGUUUUUUAGGUAGAAAUAAUUCAUCAUCUGUUCUAUCUAAAACUGAACUGUUCUUUUUGUGGUGUAUGCAUUCUGGUUUUAAGGUUAAUUUUGGAUAUUGGUUUGCACGGAAUUUUCAUGUCGUUUUACGACGUAAUCGUCCACUAAUACUUGGGUUAUAUAUUAUGAAUUUAGCAUAUCGACUUUUUCCCUCUGAAAUUGAUUUCUCGUCCUUAACAUAUGCAUAUAGUACAGACAGCUUAGAUAAAUAUUUUUUGGAUUCUAUGGGAUUACUUGUCGGCACCCCUCCUUCGAGUUAUUUUGUUCAUCUAGGUUCACGGACUACUCGUGGAAAUAUGAUUUUUCACCAACGUCCACACAUCAAUGCUAGGGAGCAAGAGAAGCAACCUCUUUCUGUGGAGGCACGUUUAAGUCGGAUCGAAGCUCGACUUGAAACAAUGGAAAACCAAGUCUCCAUAAUCCUUGACAUCCUACAAAGCCAUUACCCCCAACUCCAACAAAAUCAUUAAAAGACACAUAUGGAGUAUUCUGAACUUUUCUUUUACAUGUUAUUAAGAGCUGCUAUUUUUAUUUCAUUUAACACCCACACAUCAAUGCUAGGGAGCAAGAGAAGCAACCUCUGUCUGUGGAGGCACGUUUAAGUCGGAUCGAAGCUCGACUUGGAACAAUGGAAAACCAAGUCUCCACAAUCCUUGACAUCCUACAAAGCCAUUACCCCCAACUCCGACAAAGUCAUUAAAAGACACAUAGGGAGUAUUUUGAACUUUUCUUUUACAUGUUAUUAAGAGCUGCUAUUUUUAUUUCAGUUAACACUUGCUGGAGGACAAGAAAAGACUAAAUGGGGGGGGAAUUGAAAUUGAUGGUAAAUAUGCAUGAUUUUUGCAUUUUUGCUGCAUGUUUUUUUUUGCAUGUGUUUAAUCUUACGUUGAAUCCAUUCGAUAGCUUAUUUGACAUUGAGCCUUUAAUCUCAUACUUAGUCAAUUUGGACAAUUGGGCAAAUUUUUUUUAUUUUAAAUGUUCAAGUGUAUAGAUUAGUCGACAUUUGUGUUUUAAGGUUGAUAUAUGUAGCUAGAUUUUUCGUAUAAAUUGAUUGUCUCGAAAAAUAUUUUCUUGUGCAUAAAAAAUUAAUAAAAUAAAAAAUUUUAGGCUAGAGUUAUGAGUGAAGUUUCGAAAACGUGACUAAAUUUAGUAACCGGGAUAAGGUGCUUGGGUUGUCAUCUUAUCUCACGUAAAAAGGUUCGAGUGACAAGUCGAUAACUUACAAACAUUCUGCUAACCGAGCCUUCAAAAGUUAAAUAAAAAAAGAAAUAAUAAUAAUAAAGACUGUUUGAACUGAGUAACUGGGAUAGGGUGCUUGGGUUGUCAUCCUAGUUCACAUAAAAAGGUUUGACCAUGUCUGAAAAAAUUCUUUUUAAUUAAUAAUGCCUUGUAAAUUUUUUAUUCAAACUCAAUUUAGUGAAAUUAUUUAGUUUACAUAUUCCAAUUUUAAGACGCUUGUUGAUUAAACUAUAAUUCUGAGCAUUUGUUUAUUUUUGCCUAUGUUGUUUGCGUUGAUUAUGGAUGUGGAAAAGAGGCUCGAUUUGUAAUAAAUUGUCGAAUAAUUUCUGGUGUUUGAGGACAAGCAUGAUCUAAGUAGGGAGAUUUGAUAAACAUGUUAAUUUGCAUAUUUUUUGGGAUUAAUUUGGUUUAUUUUUGAACUGAACCCUGCUAAUUAAGUGAUUUUAUGAUUUAAACUUGUCAGGGAUGCAAUUGGACAAAAAUAAGCUAAAAGGGGCCAAAUUGAAACACAAUCAUUGAAAUAGGGA